UACGUAGGUCCCGAGCGUUGUCCGGAUUUAUUGGGCGUAAAGCGAGCGCAGGUGGUUUAUUAAGUCUGGUGUAAAGGGCAGUGGCUCAACCAUUGUAUGCAUUGGAAACUGGUAGACUUGAGUGCAGGAGAGGAGAGUGGAAUUCCAUGUGUAGCGGUGAAAUGCAUAGAUAUAUGGAGGAACACCGGUGGCGAAAGCGGCUCUCUGGCCUGUAACUGACACUGAGGCUCGAAAGCGUGGGGAGCAAACAGG
rnacentral:rRNA from 1 species